rnacentral:lncRNA from 1 species
GCAUAUCAACUGUUCGAUAAAUUUUCUCUAAGAAAAUUAAUUUUCUAAAAUAGACCAUUGUAGCUUGAGUUAUGACCGAACACGCUUUCCACUUCUUAUUUUAUUCCGUUGCGCGACUCUAUUCGGUACCGAUUGUUUCGACAACAAUGAGUACAACCUGUUAUGUAUUGAACAGAACUAUGAUAAGAUCAAUACUGAAAGUAACUCCAUGAGUUGUUCAAGGGAAGAAAGCCUAACAUCUCGC